GCAUUUCCGCUGGCGCUCAAUCGCUGGACGCUGGGCCCUGCGUCCUAGUCGCUGGGAACCGAGCAGUAUCUUCUCACGUCGUCACCUGUGACCGGCAGCCGACAGUCCAGGCGCACUGGGGGAAACAGCAAGCAGUCCGGGAAGGCAUAGGCCUGGUCUGUGUCUUUGAACCCCCAGUGCCUGGCAAGUGGGGACACGGCUUCGAGCCUUGGUCUGGGAAGAUCCCACAUGCCGCGGAGCAGCUAGGUCCGUGAGCCACAACUACUGAGCCUGCGUGUCUGGAGCCUGUGCUCCGCAACAAGAGAGGCCGCGAUAGUGAGAGGCCCGCGCACCGCGAUGAAGAGUGGCCCCCGCUUGCCGCAACUAGAGAAAGCCCUCGCACAGAAACGAAGACCCAACACAGCCAAAAAUAAAUAAAUUAAUUAAGUCAGUGUCUGAGUUUUGCCUCUCCGCAGGCUCAGUGCCUGGCAAGUGUCCGGUGCUCAGCAACUGUGGAACAGCUGCCCAGCAGGAAAGAAGGAAAGGACAGACGCAUCCCGGUGAGGUGGCGUGGCCCAUCAUGUCAUGGAGAAUCAGGGAAAGACUGCUUGUGAGCCAGCCAGCCGGGGGAGAGAGGAGACCCUUGAGAGGUGACCCCAUCCUGUCAAGAAGCGGCUGGACCACGUGCUGCUGAGAUGAGUCCACUGUGUGCAGAGGUGUCAUGGAAGUUGUCAUGUCAGGAGUGGUCUAGACCCCAGUGUCCUUGAGCUUGAAGGAAGACGAGGUAACGUUGGAGAGUUAUCCCUGGUCCUGACCUCCUGCCCCGUGGCCUCCUCAUCACUCUGGGGUGCUGCCUUGGAGGAAGCCUCAAGGGAUGGAAGCUCUGGCCUCUCAGGAUGGUGACCUGGGUCCCAGCUCCCCUGGAAGGGCCUCCUCAUGGUUGUUUUGGGGCUGUUCACGGACGCUGGCAUAGCAGAGUGAAGAGGGAUGUUGCCGCUGAUCGUCACCAGACCUUCUUCUCCUGUUGCCUUAGCACAGUAUGGAAGGACUUUGCCCCAGUGAGCGGGGCAGAGGGAAAGUCCUGGGACUCUGGGGACUUGGGAUUCAGAACUGGAGACCUUCAGCUGGCUCUGCCCUUCCCAGCAGCUGCCACAGAGCACCGCGGACCCAGAAGACUGCUUUCCUUCCGUCUGGACCAGGUCAUCCAGUGGCCUCCGUGUCCCCUUGUCUGCUCCUGGUGUAACUGUUUAGAAACAAGAGUUCCCAUUGGAGUCUUCUGUGCUGGCCAUCGUGUCCUCUCACCCACUUCAAUAAAUCUUGAAACUGC